CACAAAACACAGGAGCCAAGAAGGGCUCUCAAGCUCAAACCCUAACAAGCAUAAAAUCAACAAAUUGAAGGGGUAAAUCUAACCCAAAUCGAAAUCCAGACACGAAUUCAUGAUCACCUCGGUGAAAGGAUCAUAAGGCAAAGGAAUUGAAUCUUCAAGCGGACAAGUCGGAGUUGAUACGUGCUUGAAGGAAGAGCACCAAAGGUGAAGAUGGGGACUUUCCGGAUGGCGAUCAAGAAUGUUUUGAAGAACCGAACACACACUUUUGAAGCUUCCGCAAUAGAUUAACUUUGUUUUAGACAAUGUUUGUGAUGUAAACAUUUUACAAAUCAUGUUUUGAAUGUUGGAACUAGUUUAAUAGUCAACU